rnacentral:rRNA from 1 species
GACGAACGCUGGCGGCGUGCUUAACACAUGCAAGUCGAACGGUAAGGCCCUUCGGGGUACACGAGUGGCGAACGGGUGAGUAACACGUGGGUGAUCUGCCCUGCACUUCGGGAUAAGCCUGGGAAACUGGGUCUAAUACCGGAUAGGACCCUGGGAUGCAUGUCCUGGGGUGGAAAGCUUUUGCGGUGUGGGAUGGGCCCGCGGCCUAUCAGCUUGUUGGUGGGGUGAUGGCCUACCAAGGCGACGACGGGUAGCCGGCCUGAGAGGGUGACCGGCCACACUGGGACUGAGAUACGGCCCAGACUCCUACGGGAGGCGGCAGUGGGGAAUAUUGCACAAUGGGCGCAAGCCUGAUGCAGCGACGCCGCGUGAGGGAUGACGGCCUUCGGGUUGUAAACCUCUUUCAGCACCGACGAAGCGCAAGUGACGGUAGGCGCAGAAGAAGGACCGGCCAACUACGUGCCAGCCGCCGCAGUAA